rnacentral:rRNA from 1 species
UACGAAGGGGGGCUAGCGUUGCUCGGAAUCACUGGGCGUAAAGGGUGCGUAGGCGGGUCUUUUAAGUCAGGGGUGAAAUCCCGGGGCUCAACCUCGGAAUUGCCUUCAAAACUGGAUAUCUUGAGUUCGGGAGAGGUGAGUGGAACUCCGAGUGUAGAGGUGAAAUUCGUAGAUAUUCGGAAGAACACCAGUGGCGAAGGCGACUCACUGGCCCGAUACUGACGCUGACGGCGCGAAAG